UGGGGAAUAUUGGACAAUGGGCGCAAGCCUGAUCCAGCCAUGCCGCGUGUGUGAAGAAGGCCUUUUGGUUGUAAAGCACUUUAAGCGAGGAGGAGGCUACUUGGAUUAAUACUCUAAGAUAGUGGACGUUACUCGCAGAAUAAGCACCGGCUAACUCUGUGCCAGCAGCCGCGGUAAUACAGAGGGUGCGAGCGUUAAUCGGAUUUACUGGGCGUAAAGCGUGCGUAGGCGGCUUCUUAAGUCGGAUGUGAAAUCCCUGAGCUUAACUUAGGAAUUGCAUUCGAUACUGGGAAGCUAGAGCAUGGGAGAGGAUGGUAGAAUUCCAGGUGUAGCGGUGAAAUGCGUAGAGAUCUGGAGGAAUACAGAUGGCGAAGGCAGCCAUCUGGCCUAAUACUGACGCUGAGGUACGAAAGCAUGGGGAGCAAACAGG
rnacentral:rRNA from 1 species